ACAUGCCUACAUCAUAGCGUUAAUGCACCGGAUCCCAUUAGAACUCCACAGUUAAGUGUGCUCGAGCUAGAGUAGUACUGGGAUGGGUGACUUCCCGGAAAGUCCUAGUGUUUUACAUGCC
rnacentral:rRNA from 1 species